rnacentral:rRNA from 1 species
GAUGAACGCUGGCGGCGUGCCCAAUACAUGCCAGUCGAGCGAACAGACGAGGAGCUUGCUCCUCUGACGUUAGCGGCGGACGGGUGAGUAACACGUGGAUAACCUACCUAUAAGACUGGGAUAACUUCGGGAAACCGGAGCUAAUACCGGAUAAUAUAUUGAACCGCAUGGUUCAAUAGUGAAAGACGGUUUUGCUGUCACUUAUAGAUGGAUCCGCGCCGCAUUAGCUAGUUGGUAAGGUAACGGCUUACCAAGGCAACGAUGCGUAGCCGACCUGAGAGGGUGAUCGGCCACACUGGAACUGAGACACGGUCCAGACUCCUACGGGAGGCAGCAGUAGGGAAUCUUCCGCAAUGGGCGAAAGCUUGACGGAGCAACGCCGCGUGAGUGAUGAAGGUCUUCGGAUCGUAAAACUCUGUUAUUAGGGAAGAACAAAUGUGUAAGUAACUAUGCACGUCUUGACGGUACCUAAUCAGAAAGCCACGGCUAACUACGUG